rnacentral:rRNA from 1 species
UACGGGGGGGGUAAGCGUUGUUCGGAAUUAUUGGGCGUAAAGAGCUCGUAGGCGGUGUGUCGCGUCGGCCGUGAAAACCUGCAGCUUAACUGUGGGCUUGCGGUCGAUACGGGCAUCACUGGAGUUCGGCAGGGGAGAAUGGAAUUCCUGGUGUAGCGGUGAAUGCGCAGAUAUCAGGAGGAACACCGAUGGCGAAGGCAGUUCUCUGGGCCGUAACUGACGCUGAGGAGCGAAAGCAUGGGGAGCGAACAGG